rnacentral:misc_RNA from 1 species
UAAAAAAAAAAAUUAAAUAAAUAAAAGUUUACAUCGAUUUGAUUCAGAUUUUUGAUUAAAACCGAAAAAUGCUCCCCUAAUGGUGACAAAUUACACGUUCAGACAACUAGAUUCAAUUGUGGCCUCCCAGUUAAAGAGGGAAAAAAAAAAGCACAACGAUCCUUUUAUCAACUUAACAAAAUUCCAGAAGCAGUCAUGCAUUCUCUAACAGUUGCUGGCCUCCAGCUAGAAAACACAGGGAGUCUUUGGUACAAUCAACUGUCAUAAUAUAUGUCCCAAAAGGAGAACAAAUUAUGCCCCUAAAGUACUAACCAUCAGAUUUUGGCCUCCAGAUAUAUUGGCCCUGACCAUAAUGUGGACGUGCAUGGUUUCGCGUGGUUAAAUAACUCGGAUGACUUUCUUGUCUUUGCUUGGUAGAAUUGUCAGGACAAGUGCCCUGUCUUGGCUUGGUGAAAUAGUUGGGAUGCCUUUCCAGUCUUGUGUUCUGAACUGGAUGUUGCACUUGCAACUUCGAAUUGUUGGGACGAAUUUCCUUUGGCUUGCUCAAAACUUUGGGACGACUCUCCUGUCUUUUCUUAGCUAAAUAAUUGGGAUUUCCUUCCAGGCUCAUGUUCUGAAUUUUAUGCUGCACUUGUGACUGAGAAUACACAGCCCUGCUCAUCAUUGGACGAGUACUUUGGUAGUCCACAACAGUGUGACUUGAGCUCCCAGCAGGUGUUUCUGCAAUGAAAUUUAUUAUUUGUGGCCUGACUAACAUGCUAAGGAGAGAACUACUAUUGUGACUGGCCAAAACAAGCCUAUCAUAUGAUGUCUGAAAUGCUUCAGAUAUCUUUUCCAGGUUUCCAGCACUGACAGCCCUUGCAGUAUUCUCAGGCUGCUCAAAAGGAUCCUCAAUCUACCAGAUAUCAGCAGAAGAAACAAAAUCAGAAGUUUGAAUGAUUUUUUUUUUUUUGGGUGGUGGGGGAAGGGAGAGAGAAUUACAAAUAAUGCAUAUGUUUUGGGCAACCAUCUCAUAUUGCUGCUUAUCUCUUGCCAUUGUCCAGUAAAUGGGCAAAUUCCUAGCUCUGCAGCCUUUGAACGAAUGUCAGAAAACUGCAAAAUACAUAACAAAGUAAACAUAAAGAGGAAAUGGGCAGGAGCACUUCUAAAUUUCAAGGACCUAAAUCAAGAACACUAAAAAACAUAUUAUAUCCAUAAAAUAUGCAGUUCACUAUCACAUUAAUACAUUAUUGCCAUUUGAAAGCACAUUAAGAAACUUUGGCCCGAUAAAAAAACAUAAUCAACAUUCAUAGAAUAUACAAGUCCUGAUAUGUUUUCACAUUUGAUCCAAAUGCUACAAUCACUAGCAUAUAGAAUGGCCAGAGUUAUAUUACCUUUGCAAGGAAUGAAAUGAAAAGCUCAGAAAGAGAACUUCGAUUAACUGCCCUGUAUUUUUCUGACAUAUAUUUAGAUAUGUUAGCAUUGCAAAUUUCUUUAAUGCGCUCCUCUGCAACAAUCCUCACACCUUGCAACAAUUUGGAUUGCAGGAAUAUCAGAUAAUCAGAUUGGUAUUGAUGCUUAAUGGAACUCUACAUCAGUACACACAAAUGAAGCAGAUCAUACAAUCUAUGUCUGCAAAGAAACUGUGAAUCAAAAUUAACAUUAUUCAAUAACUUUGAGAUGAGAUGAACUCCAAGCCAAAAAAUACUUCCUUUUCCUGAAGGGUUGGGAAAGGGUGUUCAAAAACACAACUAGUAAAUUUAAUGAAAUGAUUAAAAGAUACAUGCAAUCAAGGACUAUAAAUUUUAUUGCAAUGAAAAUCAUUUUUUUCUCUAUAUUGAAAUCAAAUUAAGAGGAAGGGGAAGGAGCAGGAAAGUGGAAAGGGAGUUGUUCUUUUAAGCAAUUUAAAGGAACUUGGAGUCGUCAACUAUCAUUUCUCCUCAAGUAAGAUUAAAUAUGAGAAGUACCUGCAAGAUCAUCAACAGCAUUUCUUGGAUAUAUUUCUUUUAGAGGAGGUAAAAUAGCAGGUACACAUGUCUGAAAAUGGAAUAUAACAAGUAAACUGAGGGAGUAUGAGUUUAAUGUCCCAGACUUUGGAUUAUUGAUAUUGUGAGCUUUGGCCCAUUCCUUGACCAGUAAGACCAAAUCGCGAAAACGUCCAUCUAUCUGGCUGAUCCAGAACAAAAAAUUGGACUUCAUUCGACCCUGCAGAUUAUCGAUUGAAAUAUCACACGAGAUGCUCUGGCGGCCACUCUCAAAUUUUAAGAUGGGAACUCUUGCAUUUGGAACAAAUUGUAACCUACGCCAUCCACCUUUCUGCCUCAAAGCUCUUAGUAACUCUCCAAGUAAAUUCUGUUUGCGCUUCUUUCCAGCCGAUGAAAUAUAAGAACCAUUUGAUAGUACAAUAGCGAUAUCUAAGUCUCCCCAUCGAGUGAAGAGAUUGGACACAAAUGAUCCAAAUGGCUCCACAGUUGCACCUCUAAGACUUUCCACAGAGGUAACAACAUCUUUUAACUCUUCAAUAAUUUUAGAUCGCACUUCCCAAUCCUCUCGUAAAGGUUUAAUAACCUCAAGUACAUCCUUAAUAGUAGGCUGCAGUAUGCCACACGCGUUCAUUCUUUAAUCACUGUUUGAUAAUGCUGACGACACAUUUAAACAAAAGCCAAAACUCAGGUGCAACACUUAUCAUUAGUUAGCGCUUAAGAACUAUGCAGAAAGCAAACAUAACAUAACAGGAAAUAAAUACGAACCAUUAGUAAGGGCCUACUAAGUACAACAUCUGGGUGCAAUGAAGUGAACUGCCAAUGGAAGUUUCAUUUCACAAAGCUAUAGGUGACAAAACAGCAGUUAUAAAACAAUCAAACACAAAAGAGAGUGCAUGUGAAAUACAGAAAGAGACACGAAACGAUAGUGUGCAUAUAAAAUGGAAUUUUAAGCACAUCUAUACAUAAUGAAUGCUCCAUGAGUUUCUCAUUUUACUAGAAAACAUUUUCUGCAUUUUCUUAUUUUUGGUUUUGGGUGAUUAGAAACAUUAUCUGCAUUUUCUCUGAACCUUUGAUGUCAAUACUAAUCCAAUUAACAAUGCCUCCUCCCUUAAGUCUAAUGCCUAAGAUCAUAGAGAGAAUUCAAGAAAACACAAACGUGAUGCUAGAUUUAUCCAUCUACUUCUCUACAGGCUAAUGCUCUGCCUUCUCGUUAUUCUACUGCAAGAAUUCUUACACAUGCCUUUUUCCUUUCUUUUUCUUUUUAAUGGAAUUCUUACAUAUACCUCUUAGCAUAGUUAUUAAAGGCGCGCCUUAGGCUCAAGGCUCACCAGGCUCGA